UCAUUAUUAUUAUUAUUACAUUAGGACAAUGUUUGCAUUUAUCAACUAUACUUUCACAAAUAAAAGUGAAUAACUUGAACAAAUACAAAC